rnacentral:rRNA from 1 species
GACGAACGCUGGCGGCGUGCUUAACACAUGCAAGUCGAACGGAAAGGCCCUGCUUUUGUGGGGUGCUCGAGUGGCGCACGGGUGAGUAACACGUGAGUAACCUGCCCUUGACUUUGGGAUAACUUUAGGCAACUGGGGCUAAUACCGGAUAGGAGCUCUUGCUGCAUGGUGGGGGUUGGUAAGUUUCGGCGGUUGGGGAUGGUCUCGCGGCUUAUCCGCUUGUUGUUGGGGUAGGGGCUUUCCAAGGCUUUGACGGAUAGCCGGCCUGAGCGGGUGACGUGCCACAUUAGGACUGAGGUAGGGCCCAGUCUCCAACGGGAGGGAGCAGUGGAGAAUUUUGCACAAUGGACAGGAGCCAGGGACGGCAGCUCCGCGUGCGGGAAGACCGCCUUCGGGUUGUAAACCGCUUUCGCCGGUAACGAGGCGUGAGUGACGGUAAUGAGUAAAGAAGCACCGGCUAACUACGUG